UUCUUUUGUAAAGCACUUUACUUGCCCUGAGAUUUAAGGGGCUAUAGACGGCUAAAAUUUAUUUCUAUGUAAUUUUUUCCAAAAACUUUGUGGGAUUUAAAGCCAAUGUUUCGUCAGGCUUUUGCGCAUGACGGGCUCUGAUAAUAUAUGACAAUACUAGUGGAGUUAAGGCAGCAUUACCAUCUUGAGCGUGGAUUAAGGUUUUCAAUAGUGAAUAUUGACAACGGCUCGAGAUGAGCUUCCUUGUGCUCCAUCAUCGGUCCGUAAUAGUUCACAGGCAGAACAAAUGAAAUGCAAACAACCGCAACGACUGAGAAGAUACGAAUGCUGCAAAUGACCAUCCUGAUGAAGACCACAGCGUCGAGACCAGCAGCAGCCAACAUCUCGUCCUCGGUAGUUUCCCAAGCCUUGACGAGCCAACUCGGAGAGGGAGCAAACCUCUCGUACCAACGAGGAUCGUUGCGUUUAACUCUUCCACCGGAAAGCAUCCGGCCAAAGUAGACGCAAUAGUUGGAGGGCUGUUUCCUUAGGAUGGAGUAAAGCGAGACGAGGACUACGCAUAUCCCGACGUUAAUCCCAGCAGAGGUUAAGAGCGCUGAAACAUCCAUCUCUCACUUUGUUGUUCAGACUCUUGUCUUAAACUAAAUAAUGAAGGCAGAGAAGAACAUAAUCAGCUGCUCAGUAACAGCUUUUAAAGUCGUCUAAAAGAUCUGUAAAGAAAAGGGAAAAAAGUUUGCAAGAAUAAGAAAAAAAGACUUUCCAAAUCCUAAGAAGUGGUAACGUUUGAACAUUGAGAUCUGGCAAGUAUUAGUUGGCAUUAAAUGAAUCUAAGCUAUGAUUUAAAGGCUGAUCACAAGUAACCAAUGACAAAGGAUGAAACAAAAUAGCAUAAGAGUUCUAAAACGAAAUCAAAAUAUCUAAUUUAACUUCUUAAACCAAUCGUCCUCUAUAACUAUUAACUAACCACCACAAUUUCAUAUAACCAGAAAAAACAGGGGAAUCCAAUUACGUUAUAUGAUUCCACAACAAUCGAAACAAGAACGUGCACGGAACCAAAGCCCAGAUUUUUAUGAGAGAUUCGAUCACAAUUCGCAGAGGUUAAUCGAAAUUGAGAAUCUACCCAGAAGAAGGAACGAAAACGAUAAUUCGAGCAAACGAUGGCUUACACGGAAGAAGAAGAUGAACACUUUUUGCUUUGACUUGAGAGAAUCAGAAACCUUAAUAAUUAUUCGCAAGAUUCACGAUGUGCACCUUAUACCCCAUUUCCGCGGAGAAUUCGCGUUCAAGUUCAUAUGCCAUUAUAAUCUACCAAAAAAAAAAAUAAUAAUAAAAGAAUUCAAAUAUUUAAAACUUUUCCCCUUUUUUGUUUAGAAAGAAUAAUAAAAAAACUUAUUAAACAAAAAAAAAGUCAGAUAAUUAUUAGGUGAGGAUUUGUCAUUUACGGAAAAAAAAAAUCAUAAACCCAACCAAAAAAGUCAGAUAAACUUUCAUACAUGCUAAUAAAAUCUACAAUAUUCAAAUAACAACUUCCUUUUUUACAAUUAAAAAAAACAACUUUUCCUUUUCUUUGUCACAAAAAAAAACUUAUUAAACAAAAAGAAAGAUAAUUAUUAGGUGAGCAAUGAGCAUUAUCAUUUACGGAAGAAAAAAAAUCAUAAAGCCAACAAAAAAAAACGAUAAAUAAUAUUAGGCGACAAAUCCCACGUUGUGUGUGGUGUAAAUGUGGAAGGUGCCAGAUCAAAUGACGUGGCAUGACCUCAAUGGUGGAGACUGUCUCUACGUCGCCAAAGUCUUACUUAACCGGUGAUUGCGACUACCAUGUCGGCUACUUUAUAACCCUUCGAUGGUCUCGACCCGAUACGAUUAUGACACGUGACAUUCUACAGCGACAGUUAAAAACCGUUUUUUUUUUGCCCGGGAAAGUAUUUAUAGAAGUAGGGUCGCAUAUCUAACUAAUCCUUGUUUACUGCCAACAGAGAACUAACAAGAAACUGAUGUAAUAUCAAAAAAAAAACCUCAAUCUCAUAAGCUACUCUAAAUCUCUUGAAUAAGCAUAUUCGUGGCGUCCAAGAAAACAAAACAAAACAAAAAGAUAAUAAAGCCAACAGAAUAACACAAAAGGCAUUACCAGCAGUCUCUGAAUGAUGCCAUCACGGUAGACCAUGAGGUGCGACAAAUAGCUUCGUGCAUAGUAAUUUGUGAAGUAUUCUCUCACAGUUUCGUUGUAAGAUUGGUCAGGAGACUGAGGAACAGCACGCAUAAGUACUGUAAAAUGACUUGGCUUUGAGGAAGAUGCAGCGAUAUAUGCCAGCCUCUUUUUGGCUAUGGUCUUAUACUCCUAAAACACGUAUUAUAACAGAAGUGAGAGAGAGAGAGAGAACAAAACGAUAUGAUGUACAUGAACCAGGGAAUGGGAUCCUUACAAAGUAAAGAAGAGCACAUGCCGCAGAGGAUAUGAUGUACAGUGAUAGACAAUGUACCCAAAGCCUGGAAAUAAAUAAGAAAAGAUUAAACUAGAAUCAGCACUUUGCUUUCUUUUGUAAAGCACUUUACUUGCCCUGAGAUUUAAGGGGCUAUAGACGGCUAAAAUUUAUUUCUAUGUAAUUUUUUCCAAAAACUUUGUGGGAUUUAAAGCCAAUGUUUCGUCAGGCUUUUGCGCAUGACGGGCUCUGAUAAUAUAUGACAAUACUAGUGGAGUUAAGGCAGCAUUACCAUCUUGAGCGUGGAUUAAGGUUUUCAAUAGUGAAUAUUGACAACGGCUCGAGAUGAGCUUCCUUGUGCUCCAUCAUCGGUCCGUAAUAGUUCACAGGCAGAACAAAUGAAAUGCAAACAACCGCAACGACUGAGAAGAUACGAAUGCUGCAAAUGACCAUCCUGAUGAAGACCACAGCGUCGAGACCAGCAGCAGCCAACAUCUCGUCCUCGGUAGUUUCCCAAGCCUUGACGAGCCAACUCGGAGAGGGAGCAAACCUCUCGUACCAACGAGGAUCGUUGCGUUUAACUCUUCCACCGGAAAGCAUCCGGCCAAAGUAGACGCAAUAGUUGGAGGGCUGUUUCCUUAGGAUGGAGUAAAGCGAGACGAGGACUACGCAUAUCCCGACGUUAAUCCCAGCAGAG
rnacentral:lncRNA from 1 species